CUCUGGGUGAAGGAAUUAGUUCAGGGGCGGAGGCUUUAGCGGCCCACCGAUACCUCAUCAGCCACAAGACGGGAUGCCCCACUACGCCAACAGAGACGUGGGCUCCCCCAUCCCAGACAAGUCAACAUUGAAUCUCAAACUCUCCUUUCUGCCUCCAGGCCCCGUCUGACCCCAUUGGCAGCAGUUCCCGCCAAUCCGCUCGGUCACCGCCCCCCAAGCCCGCCUGCCCAACCCUGAUUGGAUGGGACGGGAGCCGGGACCUCGUGUUACCAAUCUGGGAGCCCCUUACUCAGCCACACACGCAAGCCCAGUUCAACUUCUUUAUAUUACAAGAUGAGGACCUGAGACACAACUGGAGGAACUAUCCAGUGUCCCAGCAUUCAGUGGUUGUUUACAUUUUAAAUGUAUCAUAAACAUCAUAUAGUUGGCUUUUUUUAAUUUAAUAAUCAUAUUUUCUUUUCAUUGAAGCAA